rnacentral:lncRNA from 1 species
GUAAUAAGGGUUAUAUUGGUAAUAAGGGUUAUAGUGGUAAUAAGGGUUAUAGUGGUAAUAAGGGUUAUAGUGGUAAUAAGGGUUAUAGUGGUAUAAUGUUAUAGGGGUUAUAGUGGUUAUGUGUUUAUAGGUUUAUAGUGGUAAUAAGGGUUA